rnacentral:lncRNA from 1 species
CUGUCCUGGAGAAGGGUUGGCCAUGCGAAUGGUUGGCUUGACACUGGGGUCACUAAUUCAGUGCUUUCAUUGGGAGAGAAUUGGUAAGGAGAUGGUGGAUAUGACGGAAGGGCCUGGCCUCACCAUGCCCAAGGCUCAACCUUUGCAGGCUAAGUGUCGGCCUCGCCAACCCAUGGUUAAUUUGCUUUCUCAAAUUUAAACCAAAUCCUCUAUAAAGUUUGUGUAAUUUCCUCCCUAUAUAUUGGGGUUUAUGGGAUUGAACCUUUCAUGAAAGCUGUCGACACAUUUCCACUACUGAUAACGGGUAAGAGCUGCUUGUGCCUAGCUCGUAGUCGUAGAAUUUUUAUGAUAUUUACUGUACAAUAUUGCUGAUAUAUAUAGACAAUGGAUGUGUAAGUUUUUAAUCUUUGCCUUGCUCUUGCUAUGCUCUAGUUAAUGAUGAUGCUGGGCAACUAGACUGAGACCUGGAUAUAUUCAGACUAGUUGCCAGUUGUUUGAGAAUUUAUGCAUCUGUUUUCAUUCUUAAACUGAAACCUGGAAAAAGAUGAACACCUUGGUUCAAUGUUUGGUGUUUCUAAUCUACUAAACUGAAUUCUAAAGUGGGAUAUCUGAGGCAUCUAAUUGUUAAUGAUUAAAAAACUUUGUAUACGUGAUUCAAAUGAAUGAGAGAUGAAGCAGUGUCCAUUUUGGUUAAUUUGAUUUCAAAACAGGGCUGCUUUCACUUUCAUUUUGGAGAGCAUAUGAUCGAAUUGGCUGCAUCUAAAAAGCAUCACAGGUUAAAUUAAAUUGAUUAAAAUUAUUUUUGAAAGAAAGAUCGUGAUACCCAGUAUGUUUGUGUGCACAGAAACUGAUGCUCUCUUCAGUUAUUUAUUUCAUUUUCUUUAAGAUGUCCCAAAAUAAAAUAAAAAAAUAGUUUUUAAGCAUGUAACAUUUUUAUUUUUUAUAUUAAAAAAUAUUGAAUAUUAAUAUUAUAAAAAAAUUUAAAUUUUAAUAUAAAAUAUAUCAAAAUAAAAAAUUUUAUUUUAAUCAUAGAAAAAUAAACAAAUGAUAUCAUCAUAAGCCUCCUGCCCAAUUUAGUGGAUGCUAACUGAGAAACAAAAGUCUUGGUAUUUCAACAACUGGAAAGCCACGGUAUGAAGCUUGUUGUAGAAAUUUUCACAAUUUCCAACCUUCUCCUAUUACCUGUUGGAUUUGCAGGCUUCUUGAAAAGAAAGAUACAGAUUUUCUAUUUCACCUCUACACAAUUUUGCUGUAACCGAGUAAUAUCUCACCAGUAAUUUUAAUUAAUAGAAAGCAAACUGGGUUUUGUGGUGAUUCUAAUUCUAAUGAUUCUGACUGUUUCAAAGUUGCAUUUACUCUGUGGUGAUUCGGUGAUGGUAGGAGUCCUGUGCUACCCUGUAUGACUCUUUCGCUGGUUUUUUUGGAAUAUACGUACUUUCCAGGGUUGUGGAGAAAAAGGUCCGUCGCUAUAUCUUUGUUGGGAUAUUGUGUGGGCUCUGUUCGGGUUGAAACCUUGUAUGGCUAAAUCCUGAUUGAAACUCUUGAGGAAUGGUCUUACAAAAAAAAUAAUGCAAGUUAACGCUAUUCUUUCCGGUGCAUGCAGAAUUGGUCCCAGAAGUCUCCUCUCUUUCUCAGUCAAUGCCGUGAAAUGGGGAUAAACCCCCAAGGAUUAAAGUAGGAGCAACUCCCCGCAAAGAGGGGACAUUGUUGCCGGGCCAAAGCCAGCACCUCCUAUUUAAGUUGCGUUUUCUCCACAUACCAAUGCAAAUAACAAUCCUAUAUAAGACUUUGUAAGCAGUUACUUCUCUAGCUAUGCGCUUCUUCAAUGAAUAGAAACGAUGAUGUUAUUAUUAUAAUCGGAGUUCAGCUUUUUACAGGACGGACUUAAUGACUAAAAGUCUAUGCACCCCCAAUUGCAUCCCAUGUUCAACUGCAGGGUAGAUAUCAAACUUUGUCAAGAAGAAAUAAUAUUGGCCUUGUAAUACCCACGCUGAAAUACAAGCAUUUUACAUGAAAAAGAUUUGCAAGACAAUCUUCAACCAAACCCUGUUUUAAGAACGGAAAAGUCCUGCCCCAACUUUCCGCCCUUCUUUUCUCACCAACAAAACAUAGGAAACCUCGUUAAAGUCAAAACUAUGAUUAACUGUCCCUACUUACUCCCCAUUUUUUCUCCGGUAUGUGCUGGCUUUUGAUCUUUUGAUGCCCAUCUCUUCACAUUCUCUAUUAAAACUUCUUUUUCUGAAAGGCAAAUGAUUCAUUGAUAAAGCGAGAAUGAAAAUUUUUCUGAAGUUAUAGUAAGAAUUUUUUAUGAACCCAAACUAUUCAACUAGAUGGACUUGUACUUGACAUAAUUCAUCUCUAAACAAAAUCAGAAAGCUCGAUGAACCAACCUAACAACAUAAACAAUUGAAUGGUAGCUUUUAAAACCACAACAAAUUUAUCAGCACAGGGACAGUCAUUCGAGAGAAUCUAAAUCACGUGGCUAUGAAUAAUGGAUAAUGGGAAAUAUGGAUGCCAAGUCAUAUAUCUUGUCUCCAAAUUCCAAGGCUAUCCAUCGUCCACGUUAUUUAAUUCAAAGAUAAUGUUUUAGUUUUUUUUCCGAUGAUUUAUUUUGAUUUCCCUCAUUAAUGUUUAUUUAGUUCCUAAUUGCAUUAAACUGAUAUUUAUCAAACAAAAGUUUCUUUUGAAAUGUUCCUUAUAAAAUCCAUAGCCAUAAUUGAUUGACAGAAAUAUAAAGACUUGAGAAAGAAGUCGUAAAGGUGGAAAAUUUGUUGGGAGUUGUUCAUUAUUGUAAUAAACAAGAUUAAACUUUUAAAUAGGUUUACUAAUAUAGUAUUCUGCUUUUUUUAUUACGUGAAGUGACAAUGUUUUGCUGCUGAAAAAAGAGGAGGCACACAGUUGGGGCGGGCAGGAAGUUGGGUAGGAGAGUUUCCUUCGGUGGAAAAUUCCUGUGGAGUGUUGUGGAAAGGCAAUCAUCGAAAGAGGAAAGAAAAAGCAGCAGGGAGACUUGUAGGAGGUCUCCCAUUAAAACAAACCAGAAGACGGUGUAGUCAAGUAAACUCCGGUCAUCUCAUUGCUUCAUUUGCAAGUUUGAAAAUUCAAGUAUUGAAGAUCUAGAAGGGGAAUAAUUAUAGAAAUCCGACUGGAAGAUAUUGCUUGGACCUUUCUCUACGCCACUCUUCACACUUUAACAUUAGUCAAGCUUAAAGGUAGAUUCACAUGACAAAUUUGUGCAAAAAGUAACCUUGUUCGGCUUCUCCGAAGAGGCGGAGAAAUCCUAUCAUAUUGGAAAAACCACAACAAACACGGCCCAUACUGGAGAAGGUGGAGAGGUUUCCGUUAAACCCUCCAAACUACAACAGCAUCACUUCUCUGAAAAAUCCAAAACCCUCCGACGACAACUUACAUAACUUGUCGGACAGGCACUAGUAUUAUUGUAUUUAAGAAACACAAGUACACCUAAACACCCAAGGUUAAUUGUUUCACCAUGUUUCUACAAAUCCUCCUCUUCGUAGCCCUUUAUUCUAUCACCACCCAUUUGCUCCACAAGUUUCAAAACCAUCCUCCUAUCCCUUUUCCCAGUUUACCCAUCAUCGGCCACCUCCACCUUCUCAAGAAACCUCUCCACCGUUCCCUAGCGAAAAUCUCCAACAAACAUGGCCCAAUCCUUCUUCUCCAUUUUGGCUCUCGCCCUGUUCUCGUCGUCUCAUCUCCAUCAGCAGCGGAGGAAUGCUUGACCAAAAACGACAUCGUCUUCGCCAACCGGCCCCAACUUCAAUUCGGGAAGCAUUUGGGCAACAACUACACCACCCUUGCCUGGGCUCCCUACGGUGACAACUGGCGGAAUCUGAGGCGUAUAUCGUCUCUUCAACUUCUCUCAACUAACUGUCUCCAGUUGCUCUACACCACGCGCCUUGAUGAGGUCCGUUCGCUUCUUCGCAAGCUGUUCGAGAAUCGAGAUCGGAUGGUGGAGAUGAAAUCCGCACUCUUCGACCUGAUGCUCAACGUGAUGAUGCGGAUGAUAGCGGGGAAAAGAUAUUACGGUGACAACGUGGCAGAAGUAAAGGAAGCGACUAGAUUUCGUGAAAUAAUGACUGAAACGUUUCUUUUGGCUGCCACAUCAAAUAUGGGAGAUUUUUUGCCUGUGUUGAAGUGGGUUGGAAAGAGCGAGAAAAGGAUGAUAAAGUUACAGCAGAAAAGAGAAACAUUUACUCAGGAGUUGGUAGAAGAAUGGAGAAAUAGAAUGAGUAAUGGGAAAAAUUCUUUAGUUACUGAAAAGAAAAAGACCAUGAUUGAAGUGUUGUUGUCUUUGCAAGAAGAAGAUCCUGAAAACUACAAGGAUGAGACCAUUAGAAAUCUCAUGAUGGUAAGAUGCUAAUAGUUCUAAUAGUUUUUUUAAUUCGUUCUUCUUUUCUUUCGAUAGACAGUGUCCUAAUAUGGGUCCUUGAAUGGGACAGGUUUUACUUCUUGCAGGAACAGAUACUUCAGCGGGGACAUUGGAAUGGGCUAUGUCUUUUCUUCUGAACCAUCCGGAAGUACUGGAGAAGGCACAAACUGAGAUGGAUACGGUGGUUGGACAAGCUCGGCUGAUGGAUGAAUCAGAUUUGGUUAAUCUUCCUUAUCUUCAUUGCAUUAUAAGGGAGACGAUGCGAAUCAAACCAGUCGGUCCGUUGUUAAUACCACACGAGUCAUCAAAAGAUUGCGUGGUCGGAGGGUAUCAUAUACCGUGUGGCACCAUGUUAAUGGUGAACUUGUGGGCUAUACAUAAUGAUCCUAACAAUUGGGAGGAGCCUACAAAAUUUAAGCCAGAGAGAUUUGAAGGUUUGGAAGGGACUAAAGUCGGAUUCAAGUUCAUGCCAUUUGGGUCAGGGCGGAGGAGCUGUCCUGGAGAAGGGUUGGCCAUGCGAAUGGUUGGCUUGACUUUGGGGUCACUAAUUCAAUGCUUUCAUUGGGAGAGAAUUGGUAAGGAGAUGGUGGAUAUGACGGAAGGGCCUGGCCUCACCAUGCCAAAGGCUCAACCUUUGCAGGCUAAGUGUCGGCCACGCCAACCCAUGGUUAAUUUGCUUUCUCAAAUUUAAACCAAAUCCUCUAUAAAGUUGUGUAAUAUCCUCCCUAUAUAUUGGGGUUUACGGGAUUGAACCUUUCAUGAAAGCUGUAGACACUUUUCCU